CAUGCAAGUCGUACGAGAGUUUUUAACUCAAGUGGCGGACGGGUGAGUAACACGUGAGAAUUUGCCUUUAGGAGGGGGAUAACAGAGUGAAAACGCUGCUAAUACCCCAUAUGCUUUCGAGUGAAAUGGAUUUAUUCGCCUAAAGAGAAGCUCGCGGCUGAUUAGCUUGUUGGUAAGGUAAUGGCUUACCAAGGCGACGAUCAGUAUCUGGUUUGAGAGGACGAUCAGACACACUGGAACUGAGACACGGUCCAGACUCCUACGGGAGGCAGCAGUGGGGAAUUUUCCGCAAUGGGCGAAAGCCUGACGGAGCAAUACCGCGUGAGGGAUGACGGCCUAUGGGUUGUAAACCUCUUUUCUCAGGGAGGAAAUCAAUGACGUUACCUGAGGAAUAAGCAUCGGCUAACUCCGUGCCAGCAGCCGCGGUAAGACGGAGGAUGCAAGUGUUAUCCGGAAUCACUGGGCGUAAAGCGUCUGUAGGUGGCUUAACAAGUCAACUGUUAAAUCUUGAAGCUCAACUUCGAAAUCGCAGUCGAAACUGUUAGGCUAGAGUAUAGUAGGGGGUAAAGGGAAUUUCCAGUGGAGCGGUGAAAUGCGUAG
rnacentral:rRNA from 1 species